AAAAAUUGAUGGCCAAAUAGAUAAAGCAGUUAAGCUGUCAACUUACUGCUUGAGAGUCUGGGAUUGAAUUUGGACAAGCCAUCCCAUGUCAGGCCUUGUCCCUCACCAUUCAGUUGCCUGCAUUGUGGACUUGGCUGAACCCAUUUUGGCUAUUUAAAAAGUUUCUCUUUGUGCCCACAGGAUUUUCAACAAUAAGGCUGAGAUUAACAAUAACUGAUUUUUUUCAAAAUAAAAGCACAGUAAAUCCCCAGUUAACUGAGCUGCUGUAUGAUCGAGUACUUUUAAUCUCCACUGUAUUGAACAAGUCGCUGAUGCUGAAAUGACUGCAGAACAUUGAGGCAAAGAAAGGAGAAACUAUGAUAAAACAAAAUAUUUUAGAGGACUUUUUGUGGAAAUUUCAAAAUGAUAACAUCAUUCA